rnacentral:rRNA from 1 species
AUGUACACGGCUUACCAGGUGGACGAACAUACGUUCAAGGUGUGUUCUCUCUUGGGCAUGUCGGAUUCAGAACCUGAAGACCCAGACAAAGGAAGGAACUACUUUGUGAAGGCCUCGAUAAACGAAGGCGAAUACUACUACCAAUGCUGCAAAGUCGAACGGGACAGGAUUGUGUGUUGUCACAUACUAAAAGUAAUGGACAUGAACGCGAUCACGCGAAUGCCCUACCAUUUCAUAUGGCGGCGAUGGACUUGGGACGCUGACGACGCGUUGGGGCCACAAACAUCAAAUGCAGUUUUGGCUGUGCAUGAUGAGAGACCAGAGGCAACCAUGGAAGCCGUGAGGCACGUUGUGUUGACCAAGAACUCUGCUGAACUAAUAGAUGAAGCAUGCAAGAGUGAUGAGACAGCGAGGGUGGCAGAAAAACACAGGAAGGCCCUGAAAAGAGAGCUUGAUGAGAUCAAAAAGAGGAAAGCUGAAGAAGCCUUACACAGGGUCCCCCGCACCUCAAGUGUGCCUUCAUCCACGGGGCCAUCAUCUGAAAACUCGGAGGUAGGGUCUGGAACAGCAAGCACACAAACCCAGGUCAGGAACCCGCCCCGUUCCAUCACAAAAGGGCGUCCAAAAGAGGUGAGAUACAAAUCGGGGUUGGAGAUUCAAGCAAAACACAAGAAAACAAAGAAAGGGACGGGCAAUCCGUAA